GACAAAUAUGAUUAGUGGUGUUAGUCAAUCUGGUAUAUCUUCUGCUAAUGGCACAAUGAUGCCGACUCCUGGAAUGGGUCAACAAGGACAGUAUUUAAACUUCUUUACUGUAUUAGUGCUUGCUUCGGUUAGUGUAUUUCUUCUUCUCAUUCUCAUUUUGCCAACUAUAAUUUUGAUAUUCUCAUCCUCAUUUGUUAUCUGAAAAUAUAGAUACAUCUAUAUUUCCACACAUGAAAUAAAUUAUAGAGCUCUGGCUCCUAUAUAGGAGUAUCUGUCUAGCAGUUUAUUAGCAAGUAUUGCAAGGACUAAUUCAAAUAACUUUGGAAGGUACCAAAACCUCUGUUCGGCCUUGCUGGUAUAAUGUGGGUAGCUUUCGCCGAGAGCAAACAGAUCUAUUAAGGGAUUUUUGCCCGGUAAAAGCUGUGAAUGCAUCAAGAAAUGUGGACACUGAAAACUGCAUGGUCAACUAAUAGAUACAGUUUAAUAGUGAGAAAGUUGCUUGUUUGGCUUAUGCUCGAAUCCAGGCUUCUCUUAUCAUCUUGGAAGAGAUAUAUUAUACCGGAAGUUGCCUCAGUUCCCAUUACCCACUCACAAUGUUGUUGUGAGAGGACAUUCUCCGCUGGAAUUUGAGGUAUGUUUCUACUUGUGUAAACUCCUGUAGAAUUUAAGGCUGCCUUUUUAUUGGUUUUGGUUACUUGGUGAUAAAAAUGUAAACUUGUGUACUCUUUUCAGUCCAACCUGCUUUUAUGUUGCCAUGUGUACUAUUUUAGUCCAGCCUGCUUUAUGCAAUAGUAUGAUGCUGGCUUUGCAGAGAUCUGAAAAGUUACAACCUCACUUACAUUCAUUAUUUUUAGAUCUUCGUGCAACAUAUCAAGACAUUGCUUUCGGGGCUUAAAUUAUGCACUAGUUUCCGUCGCAAAGGAGCAUCCUAGUUAUGGAACAGCUUUGUCUUCUAUGAUUGAGGGAAAGAACGAAGAAAUGUCUAACACCUGAGCUGUCUGGUGGAGCAAGAAUUCAUUAUAUAUUCCAAUUAAUAUUUGUGAAGAGUUUGGAGAUGUUCUUAGUGUAAUAAAAAAAUUCAUUAUAUA